rnacentral:rRNA from 1 species
GACGAACGCUGGCGGCGUGCUUAACACAUGCAAGUCGAACGGAAAGGCCCUGCUUUUGUGGGGUGCUCGAGUGGCGAACGGGUGAGUAACACGUGAGUAACCUGCCCUUGACUUUGGGAUAACUUCUGGAAACUGGGGCUAAUAACGGAUAGGAGCUCCUGCUGCAUGGUGGGGGUUGGAAAGUUUCGGCGGUUGGGGAUGGACUCGCGGCUUAUCAGCUUGUUGGUGGGGUAGUGGCUUACCAAGGCUUUGACGGGUAGCCGGCCUGAGAGGGUGACCGGCCACAUUGGGACUGAGAUACGGCCCAGACUCCUACGGGAGGCAGCAGUGGGGAAUAUUGCACAAUGGGCGGAAGCCUGAUGCAGCAACGCCGCGUGCGGGAUGACGGCCUUCGGGUUGUAAACCGCUUUCGCCUGUGACGAAGCGUGAGUGACGGUAAUGGGUAAAGAAGCACCGGCUAACUACGUG